GACGAACGCUGGCGGCGUGCUUAACACAUGCAAGUCGAACGGUGACGACUGGAGCUUGCUCCGGUCUGAUCAGUGGCGAACGGGUGAGUAACACGUGAGUAACCUGCCCCAGACUCUGGAAUAACCCCGGGAAACCGGAGCUAAUACCGGAUACGAGACGGAGAGGCAUCUCUACCGUCUGGAAAGUUUUUCGGUCUGGGAUGGACUCGCGGCCUAUCAGCUUGUUGGUGAGGUAACGGCUCACCAAGGCGACGACGGGUAGCCGGCCUGAGAGGGCAACCGGCCACACUGGGACUGAGACACGGCCCAGACUCCUACGGGAGGCAGCAGUGGGGAAUAUUGCACAAUGGGCGAAAGCCUGAUGCAGCGACGCCGCGUGAGGGAUGACGGCCUUCGGGUUGUAAACCUCUUUCAGCAGGGAAGAAGCGAAAGUGACGGUACCUGCAGAAGAAGCACCGGCUAACUACGUGCCAGCAGCCGCCGUAACAC
rnacentral:rRNA from 1 species